GACUGCCCGGGCCCGGCCCCUGCCGCUCGGCCACACGUGGGAGGGCCCGGCGUGCGUGUGCGCGGGUGAGACACGGACAUGCGGGGGCGUGUGCACACUGACAUACAUGCCACUAACACUGGGAGGAGUGUGAAUACCUGUGCCUAACCCUUCUAGCAGCAAUGGAGGUGAAGGUUCCCCAUCCAGAGCAUGGGACACAUUGCAAUUUUCCCAGCUUGAAAGAAAGGCCUGAAGCUGAAGGGGCUAUAUACAAGUACUCCAAACCAUAGGGAGGCCCAGACUCUCAUCUGAAUAAAAUAAAAGCUCUGUUCCAGCAUGUGUACUA